GACGAACGCUGGCGGCGUGCCUAAUACAUGCAAGUAGAACACUGAAGGAGGAGCUUGCUCUUCUGGAUGAGUUGCGAACGGGUGAGUAACGCGUAGGUAACCUGCCUGGUAGCGGGGGAUAACUAUUGGAAACGAUAGCUAAUACCGCAUAAUAGUAGAUGUUGCAUGAUAUUUACUUAAAAGGUGCAAUUGCACCACUACCAGAUGGACCUGCGUUGUAUUAGCUAGUUGGUGGGGUAACGGCUCACCAAGGCGACGAUACAUAGCCGACCUGAGAGGGUGAUCGGCCACACUGGGACUGAGACACGGCCCAGACUCCUACGGGAGGCAGCAGUAGGGAAUCUUCGGCAAUGGACGAAAGUCUGACCGAGCAACGCCGCGUGAGUGAAGAAGGUUUUCGGAUCGUAAAGCUCUGUUGUAAGAGAAGAACGAGUGUGAGAGUGGAAAGUUCACACUGUGACGGUAUCUUACCAGAAAGGGACGGCUAACUACGUG
rnacentral:rRNA from 1 species